AGAGUUUGAUCAUGGCUCAGGAUGAACGCUAGCUACAGGCUUAACACAUGCAAGUCGAGGGGAAACGACAUCGAAAGCUUGCUUUUGAUGGGCGUCGACCGGCGCACGGGUGAGUAACGCGUAUCCAACCUGCCCACCACUUGGGGAUAACCUUGCGAAAGUAGACUAAUACCCAAUGACGUCUCUAGAAGACAUCUGAAGGAGAUUAAAAGAUUUAUCGGUGAUGGAUGGGGAUGCGUCUGAUUAGCUUGUUGGCGGGUAACGCCACAAGGCGACGAUCAGUAGGGUUCUGAGAGGAAGGUCCCCCANAUUGGAACUGAGACACGGUCAAACUCCUACGGGAGCA
rnacentral:rRNA from 1 species